GACGAACGCUGGCGGCGUGCUUAACACAUGCAAGUCGAACGAUGAAGCUAGAGCUUGCUCUGGUGAAUUAGUGGCGAACGGGUGAGUAACACGUGAGUAACCUGCCCCGAACUCUGGGAUAACUGCUGGAAACGGUAGCUAAUACUGGAUACGACCUACGAAGGCAUCUUCUGUAGGUGGAAAGAAUUUCGGUUCGGGAUGGACUCGCGGCCUAUCAGCUUGUUGGUGAGGUAAUGGCUCACCAAGGGGACGACGGGUAGCCGGCCUGAGAGGGUGGCCGGCCACACUGGGACUGAGACACGGCCCAGACUCCUACGGGAGGCAGCAGUGGGGAAUAUUGCACAAUGGGCGCAAGCCUGAUGCAGCAACGCCGCGUGAGGGAUGACGGCCUUCGGGUUGUAAACCUCUUUUGGUAGGGAAGAAGCGAAAGUGACGGUACCUGCAGAAAGAGCACCGGCUAACUACGUGCCAGCAGCCGCCGUAA
rnacentral:rRNA from 1 species